rnacentral:rRNA from 1 species
GACGAACGCUGGCGGCGUGCUUAACACAUGCAAGUCGAACGGAAAGGCCCUGCUUUUGUGGGGUGCUCGAGUGGCGAACGUUUGAGUAACACGUUAGUAACCUGCCCUUGACUUUGGGAUAACUUCAGGAAACUGUGGCUAAUACCGGCUAGGAGCUCCUGCUGCAUGGUGGGGGUUGGAAAGUUUCGGCGGUUGGGGAUGGACUCGCGGCUUAUCAGCUUGUUGGUGGGGUAGUGGCUUACCAAGGCUUUGACGGGUAGCCGGCCUGAGAGGGUGACCGGCCACAUUGGGACUGAGAUACGGCCCAGACUCCUACGGGAGGAAGCAGUGGGGAAUAUUGCACAAUGGGCGGAAGCCUGAUGCAGCAACGCAGCGUGCGGGAUGACGGCCUUCGGGUUGUAAACCGCUUUCGCCUGUGACGAAGCGUGAGUGACGGUAAUGGGUAAAGAAGCACCGGCUAACUACGUG